UUGAAAGUAAAAGGUUCGUACAAGGUUUCCGUAGGUGAACCUGCGGAAGGAUCAUUAAUGGUGCUUGCAGAAAUGCUUGCACGGCGGCGGCCUUAAAACGCGCCAAAUGGCACCCUUUGUUUAUGAGUACCGUUCGUUUCCUCGGUGGGCUUGCCUGCCACGAGGACCAACAAAAACCUUUGUAGUAGCAGUAUCUUCAGUAAAAACAAAUAUUAAAACUUUCAACAACGGAUCUCUUGGUUCUGGCAUCGAUGAAGAACGCAGCGAAAUGCGAUAAGUAGUGUGAAUUGCAGAAUUCAGUGAAUCAUCGAAUCUUUGAACGCACAUUGCGCCCUUCGGUAUUCCGUUGGGCAUGCCUGUUCGAGCGUCAUUUAAUCAUUCAAGCUCUGCUUGGUGUUGGGUGUUUGUUCCGCCUCAGCGCGUGGACUCGCCUUAAAUUCAUUGGCAGCCGGUAUGUUGGCUUCGUGCGCAGCACAUUGCGUCGCGAUUCUGGCAGGCCUCCUCCCAUUAAGCUUCUUUUAAGUUUGACCUCGGAUCAGGUAGGGAUACCCGCUGAACUUAAGCAUAUCAAUAA
rnacentral:rRNA from 1 species